CAGAGCCGCUGCGGAGAGAUUUCUCAAGUUGAGCUUCAGAGGAAGAAGAAGAAGCGGCUGCAAAUCACAACAUGACGUUUAAGCGAAGGAAUGGUGGUCGUAACAAACAUGGUCGUGGUCAUGUUAACUUCAUAUGUUGUUCAAACUGUGGAAAGUGUUGCCCUAAGGAUAAGGCAAUCAAGAGAUUUUUGGUGAGGAACAUCGUUGAACAAGCUGCUGUUAGAGAUGUUCAGGAAGCUUGUGUCAUGAUGGUAUGUGUUUUUU